CCUACGGGUGGCUGCAGUAAGGAAUAUUGGUCAAUGGACGCAAGUCUGAACCAGCCAUGCCGCGUGGAGGAUGAAGGUCCUCUGGAUUGUAAACUUCUUUUAUUUGGGAAGAAACUCCCGAUUUCCAUCGGGAUUGACGGUACCAGAUGAAUAAGCACCGGCUAACUCCGUGCCAGCAGCCGCGGUAAUACGGAGGGUGCAAGCGUUAUCCGGAUUCACUGGUGCUAAGGUGGGCAGGGGAGGGCAGGUAGAAAUCUCCGGGCUUAACCCGGAAACUGCCAUUGAGACUAUUUGUCUUGAGUACUCUGGAGGUGCGCGGAAUAUGUCAUGUAGCGGUGAAAUGCUUAGAUAUGACAUAGAACACCCAUUGCGAAGGCAGCUCACUACGGAAAUAUUGACGCUGCGGCACGAAAGCGUGGGGAUCAAACAGGAUUAGAUACCCGUGUAGUC
rnacentral:rRNA from 1 species